rnacentral:rRNA from 1 species
ACCACAAGGAGGCCACUCGAGCUACUUCAUAUGGAUCUUUUUGGUCCCAACGCCUACAAGAGUCUCGGUGGAAAUUCUUUUGGUCUAGAUAUAGUUGAUGAUUUUUCAAGAUUUACGUGGGUGUUCUUUCUUGAUGACAAGUCGCAGGUCCAGAAGAUCUUCAAAAACUUCGCUAGGAAGGCCCAAAAUCAGUUUGACGUGAAGAUCAAGAAGGUUCGGAGUGACAACGGAACGGAGUUCAAGAAUGCAAAUGUGGACACCUUUCUUAACGAAGAAGGGAUUUCACACGAGUUCUCGGCUACGUACACACCUCAACAAAAUGGAGUUAUUGAGAGGAAGAACCGGACGCUCAUCGAAAUGGCGAGAACGAUGCUUGAUGAGUACAAGACGCCGAAGCACUUUUGGGCAGAAGUGGUUGAGACAGCUUGUCAUGCAACAAAUCGCUUGUAUCUUCACAAGCUACUCGGCAAGACGACAUACGAGCUCCUCACCGGAGACAAAGACCCUUCAGAAGCAAUCCAAGACUUGUCUAUUGGCAAAAUUCGUCCAACGGAGGUGAAGGAGAGUACCUCGUCCGUCCAAGUGGAAGCUUCUACUUCACGACAAGGUGAACCAAGAAUUGAUACAGAAGCAUCCACAAGUGGGACACACCAAGAUGAAGAAGACAAGGAAAUGCAUCAAGACGAACAUCAACAACCUCCUUCUCCACCACGACAAGAGAACGACAACGUCAACAAUGAAGAAGGCCAAGAAGAAGAACAAGAUGAAGAAGAUGUUCAACAAAGACCCAAGCAAAAGCUCUCACGAGUUCGAGCAAGAAUUUCCAAAGAUCAUCCCGUCAAGCAAAUCUACAAUGAUAUUCAAACCGGGAGAAUCACUCGCUCAAAAACUCGUUUAGCUAACUUUUGUGAAAACUAUUCAUUCAUCUCUAGCAUUGAACCUAUGAAGGUUGAAGAAGCAUUGGAAGAUCCGGAUUGGAUAAAUGCUAUGCAUGAAGAGCUACACAACUUUGAGAGAAACCAAGUUUGGACAUUGGUUGAGAAGCCCGACAACAACCAUAACAUCAUUGGUACCAAAUGGGUGUUUCGCAACAAGCAAGAUGAAGAUGGGCAAGUGGUUCGCAACAAAGCACGUCUCGUCGCCCAAAGGUACACACAAGUCGAAGGUAUGGACUAUGGUGAGACAUAUGCUCCCGUUGCUAGACUUGAGUCCAUUGGCAUCUUACUUGCCUAUGCUAAUCACCAUAAUAUCACCUUGUACCAAAUGGAC